UACGGGGGGGGUAAGCGUUGUUCGGAAUUACUGGGCGUAAAGGGCUCGUAGGCGGCCAACUAAGUCGGACGUGAAAUCCCUCAGCUUAACUGGGGAACUGCGUCCGAUACUGGAUGGCUUGGAUUUGGGAGAGGGAUGCGGAAUUCCAGGUGUAGCGGUGAAAUGCGUAGAUAUCUGGAGGAACACCGGUGGCGAAGGCGGCAUCCUGGACCGACAUUGACGCUGAGGAGCGAAAGCUAGGGGAGCAAACGGG
rnacentral:rRNA from 1 species